rnacentral:rRNA from 1 species
UACGUAGGGGGCAAGCGUUGUCCGGAAUCAUUGGGCGUAAAGAGCGUGUAGGCGGCUCUAUAAGUCCGCUGUGAAAGUCCAGGGCUCAACCCUGGAAGGCCGGUGGAAACUGUCGGGCUAGAGUCCGGAAGAGGCGAGUGGAAUUCCCGGUGUAGCGGUGAAAUGCGCAGAUAUCGGGAGGAACACCAAUGGCGAAGGCAGCUCGCUGGGACGGUACUGACGCUGAGACGCGAAAGCGUGGGGAGCAAACAGG